UGUCGACGGUGAGUAUGCAUAGGAAUCUACCUAGUAGUAUGGGAUAGCCACUAAAAUGGUGGGUAAUACUGUAUAAUCCCUGCGGGGGAAAGAUUUAUCGCUAUUAGAUGAGCCUAUGUUAAAUUAGCUAGUUGGUAGGGUAAAGGCCUACCAAGGCAGUGAUCUAUAGCUGGUCUGAGAGGAUGAUCAGCCACACUGGAACUGAAAUACGGUCCAAACUCCUACGGGAGGCAGCAGUGGGGAAUAUUGGACAAUGGGCGCAAGCCUGAUCCAGCUAUGCCGCGUGAGUGAAGAAGGCCUUAGGGUUGUAAAACUCUUUCAGUGGGGAAGAUAAUGACGGUACCCACAGAAAAAUUCCGGGCCAAACUCAAA
rnacentral:rRNA from 1 species